CGAGCCCCUCCCUCCAUUCUUGUCCACCCAACCACCACCGCUUCACCCACACCCCUUAUAUCGUCCAUGGGGCUACCACCCUGACUCCCAGCCCAUGCUGGUAGCGGCCGCGAUGGGUUGUCCUUCUGCCUACUUGUUUGCUGCUCAUCGAGUUUUCCCAUGGUUGAGCCCAUGGGGCCGUGGCGGAGCUGCAACGGUGAUGUGACGAGCUCGUCACCAACCGCCAUCGGGAUGUUGCACCCGUGCCUGUGGCUUGCUGGAACCGCGUGCCUGGUGAGCUGCAACCAUGGUCGUUGUGUUGCAGCGAUGAAUCCGUCAAUGAGCCAUAACCAGCGCCAAUAGAAGCUGGAACUGUGGUGCAAAAUAGCUGCAACCGGUAACAACAGAAGCUGGAACAGGUGAUUCUUUUGCUUCAAACGAUGGGAGUGGUUUGGGGGCGACGGGGGACGGCACAUGUUUUUGCUGCAUCCGGCACCACAAAAGCUACAUCCGGCAACACAGUUUGCUACUCCCUCCGUUCCAUAACAUAAGAACGUUUUUGACACUAGCAGCUCUUUGCGCAGUGCCGACUUUUUUUGCUGGAACCGGCAUCACAUUUGCUACAACCGGUGUUUAUUUUUGCUGGAACCAGUCUCCCAUGUGAAUAUGCAAUCACCGAUGAAGUGCUACAAAGCUUGACAUCCUCGCCGGCGACGCUGUAAAAUGUUGCAACCGGCAAAAACAAAAGCUGGAACCAACAUUCAGUUUGCUGGAAACGGCAAACACGGUAACAACGAACCCCGGCGGCCUUCCUGCGCAAGCAUCGACAACAACAAACGUUGGAUCUAUGUGGGUUAUGGCAGAGGGCACGGGGGGGCUGCAUAGUGGCACCCACCAUCGACGGAGACGACGUGCGACUUUUUCGGUGCCAACGGACGGUGGCCCUUUUUUUCCUGCGAGGAGCAGAAGUGGAGACGAUGCUGCGGGGGGCAAAUCCAACAGGGAAAGCAGGGGGAAGCAGACGAGGGAGGAAGAAGACACAACAGGGGACCAAAUCGAACGGCUGUUAGCGGCUAAAUCGGGUGGCUAGGGACCGACCGGCCGAACUGUUUCGGCCGGCGCACCGGCGCCUAGCACCCGCCCAUUUUUAUGGCAAUUUUAGUCACACAACGAUGCUAAAUUUCAAUGACACAUGGCAAGUUUCUAUUAAAAACAAAUUGAAGCAUGAAAGUUGCCGUACACUAAAUUUACCGUCGAAUUUUUUUGGAGUUAUCAUGUGCCCGUACGUGACGUGUGGCAUUUA